rnacentral:lncRNA from 1 species
AUGAUGCAGAGGAAUAGUUACAGGCCUUCUAAUGGCCCAUUGAUACAGAGGACUAGGUUCUCUAAUGGCCCAGUGAUACAGACCGGGCCAGAUGCAACAAUGAGGAUCCUUCAGACUAAGGAAGAUGUAACAAUGAGGAUCUUUCAGACCGGGGCAGAUGCAACAAUGAGGAUCUUUCAGGCCGGGGCAGAUGCAACAAUGAGGAUCUUUCAAACCGGGGCAGAUGCAACAAUGAGGAUCUUUCAGACCGGGGCAGAUGCAACAAUGAGGAUCUUUCAGACCGGGGCAGAUGCAACAAUGAGGAUCUUUCAGAGCAGGGCAGCUGCAGCAAUGAGGAUCUUUCAGAGCAGGGCAGAGAAAAUAAAAGGAAGAAAAGCAGGUUUAAUUAUAACUGAAACAUGAUGUCAGUCAACUAAUUUCUUUCGUUAAAAGACAGGUGCUGCUGAUAACACUGCCAUCGUCAUCAAGGAUGUUGGAAUUAUUUUGGUAUGAACGUGCAAAAGUAACCUACUUUUUUUAAGUGAUUUGUUUGACAAUAAGAUGAAAACAUCAUGACUGAUUGUGGUCAUGCUACAUUAAAAGUACAUUUUUACAGUUAAAUGACAUGUCUUUACUAUAAAACCCAUAGGGGGGGGGGGUGGUGGGGGAAGCUCAGACUGACCUCUGCCUGGGUCCUGCAAAUCACUAAGCCCGCCCCUGUACAGAGGAAUAUUUUACAGGCCCUCUGAUGGCCUAUGUGAUACAGAGGAAUAGUUACAGGCCCUCUGAUGGCCUUAUGUGAUACUCCGCACCUAGUGUUUUCCCAACCCAGUCCUAGGUUCCCCCUUAACCGUUUCACAUAUUUUGAUCUAUACCAACACUAGCUCACCAUAACAGGAUCAGGAUGGUGCUUUCCAGUGCUGCAUUAGACUGUGUGUUAUUUACUAGGAAAAUGGAUUCAGUUUACAGAACAGCAAAUGGAUACCAACAUAUUUGGCAGAGAGGUACACCAUUGCAAUAAAAUACAUGGAGUUGUAUUCAAAUUCUAUCACUAGUUCUAUCACUAUUCUAUCACUAUUCUAUCACUAUUCUAUCGCUAUUCUAUCGCUAUUCUAUCACUAUUCUAUCACUAUUCUAUCACUAUUCUAUCACUAUUCUAUCACUAUUCUAUCGCCGUUUUGAAAGACGCUGCAUUUAGUUGAGAAGCUGCCGUCUUGCUACUCUUGUGCCUUUUGAGUAUUUCUCCACUUGGUCCUAUCUGACCUCUGUGUUUGUUAUUGCUAAAGGAAUUCCAAAGGUUUACUCAAUCUAUGAAGUCACCAACAACUGGUCAUUCCACAUGCCAACCAAAGCAACGCUAUGUAUUAAAGGUGCAGUUCCUCUUUGUUUUCUGCAGCUCCUCCUCCCUACAGUCUAACCUUUUGCCUUGAAUGUGUGAUUUGGUCGACACGUGUAGCUCAAAUAAAGGUAUUUAAUUUUACAGCCAUGUCCUCUACGUAGGAGUUUGUUUUGGAUUCUAAUCUAGCUGCUCAGAGGGUUAGGACUCUAAUCUAGCAGCUCAGAGGGUUAAGACUCUAAUCUAUCUGCUCAGAGGGUUAGGACUCUAAUCUAUCUGCUCAGAGGGUUAGGACUCUAAUCUAUCUGCUCAGAGGGUUAGGACUCUAAUCUAUCUGCUCAGAGGGUUAGGACUCUAAUCUAUCUGCUCAGAGGGUUAGGACUCUAAUCUAUCUGCUCAGAGGGUUAGGACUGUAAUCUAUCUGCUCAGAGGGUUAGGACUCUAAUCUAUCUGCUCAGAGGGUUAGGACUCUAAUCUAUCUGCUCAGAGGGUUAGGACUCUAAUCUAUCUGCUCAGUGGAUUAGGACGGUAAUCUUUCUGCUCAGAGGGUUAGGACUCUAAUCUAGCUGCUCAGAGGGUUAGGACUCUAAUCUAUCUGCUCAGAGGGUUAGGACUCUAAUCUAGCUGCUCAGAGGGUUAGGACUCUAAUCUAUCUGCUCAGAGGGUUAGGACUCUAAUCUAUCUGCUCAGAGGGUUAGGACUGUAAUCUAUCUGCUCAGAGGGUUAGGACUCUAAUCUAUCUGCUCAGAGGGUUAGGACUCUAAUCUAUCUGCUCAGAGGGUUAGGACUCUAAUCUAUCUGCUCAGAGGGUUAGGACUCUAAUCUAUCUGCUCAGAGGGUUAGGACUGUAAUCUAUCUGCUCAGAGGGUUAGGACUCUAAUCUAUCUGCUCAGAGGGUUAGGACUCUAAUCUAUCUGCUCAGAGGGUUAGGACUCUAAUCUAUCUGCUCAGAGGGUUAGGACUCUAAUCUAUCUGCUCAGUGGAUUAGGACGGUAAUCUUUCUGCUCAGAGGGUUAGGACUCUAAUCUAGCUGCUCAGAGGGUUAGGACUCUAAUCUAUCUGCUCAGAGGGUUAGGACUCUAAUCUAGCUGCUCAGAGGGUUAGGACUCUAAUCUAGCUGCACAGAGGGUUAGGAUUCUAAUCUAGCAGCUCAGAGGAUUAGGACUCUAAUCUAGCUGCUCAGGGGAUUAGGACUCUAAUCUAGCUGCUCAGAGGGUUAGGACUCUAAUCUAUCUGCUCAGUGGAUUAGGACGGUAAUCUUUCUGCUCAGAGGGUUAGGACUCUAAUCUAUCUGCUCAGAGGGUUAGGACUCUAAUCUAGCUGCUCAGAGGGUUAGGACUCUAAUCUAUCUGCUCAGAGGGUUAGGACUCUAAUAUAUCUGCUCAGAGGGUUAGGACUCUAAUCUAGCUGCUCAGAGGGUUAGGACUAAUCUUUCUGCUCAGAGGAUUAGGACUCUAAUCUAGUUGCUCAGAGGGUUAGGAUUCUAACCAUGAAGGGAAAGGAGAUGGUGAUGAUGUCAUGUUUUGAGAUAUUCAUCUGUCAGCGCAGUAUGUAGCUUUAGCAGACUUCCCGGGUUCAGUGCUCUUGUGUGAUUGCUUAAAUGUAUAUAGGCAGUGAUCCAAAUGCUGUGAUUUAUUAAUGAAUACAGUAUAUUGUAUGGAAUCAACUAUUUCCAUAAGUGGACCACUAUUCCUGUUGAUUUACUGAAACCAUUUGGAACUUUAGUCAAAGAAUAUAGAAAUGGUUUGAUUCAUUUUUAUUCCUGCACAUUAAUAAACAUGACAUUUAGCUUCCUCCUCGACCCGCGCUGUAAAGGCUGAGAAAGCGUCAAGCCACGUCAUUUUCUUUUCCAGCCUGCAAGCCAAAAAGAGAAAGUCAUGCUGGGAGAUCUGCCUGUGAGUUCAUGGAAAGAAUAACAUCUCACAUCUGUCCAUCAACGGAAACAUAGAGAUCAAAUUUUCAGACGAACAAAGUCCCUUUUCCCCAAUUAGUUUCUCCUGAACUGAGCUGGAAUGGGACUUUAACAGCCCUGGUUGUCUAAACCAGGCUUUCCCAACACUCUCCUCGCUCCUCCAGACGUUUCACAUUUUAGUUUUAACCCUAAACUGGCACAGCUGAUUCAAUUAGUCAGGAAAUCAUUAAGCCUUUGACUAAUCAAAUCAGGUGUUCCAGUAAAAAAUAUGAAACUUCUGUGAGGACCGGAGGAGAGGGUUAUGUGUAGGGUAACCCUGGUCUAGACUUCAAGGGGGGCUGGAGGAGAGGGUUAUGGGUAGGGUAACCCUGGUUUAGACUUCCAGGGGGGCUGGAGGAGAGGGUUAUGGGUAGGGUAACCCUGGUCUAGACUUCCAGGGGGGCUGGAGGAGAGGGUUAUGGGUAGGGUAACCCUGUUCUAGAUGUCCAGGGGGGCUGGAGGAGAGGGUUAUGGGUAGGGUAACCCUUGUCUAGAGAGAUCUCCACGAAACACACUCGUUCCCCCUUUAAGUUUCUUCUUCAUUAGAUGUCCACUGUCCAUCUGUGGAAUGAACCCAGAUCCUUCCCUCUGAAGCCUGGUGCUCAGAUGCCGGAUUAUCUCCUCUGGUUGGAAUGGGAAGACCUGAAUGGGACUUAGAGUUGACAUUAUGUUAUGAUGUACAUGAAGUGUGAA